AAAAACUAAAAAAAUCAUUAUUUCAUUAAAAAUUUAGAGUUCCAUGACGUAUGCCAAGAAAGAGUUACUUUAAUAAACUUGAAUGUAAACAUUAGAUAAUACAAUUAUCAAUGUCUAGUUACUAAUCUUACAAGAUCUUGAUUAAGACAAUUUGAUAUUCACGUAAGCACCUAGUCAGAUAUACUUAUUCCACAAAAUCAUGUGAAAAUGCUAUCCCUCUACCUCUUCCUCUCUGUCUCU
rnacentral:lncRNA from 1 species